UCUUACAUUGAUCUCUCGCUCACUACACACAAUACAAUCUUUCUCUCGCUAGAAAGAAAAAUACUCUUUAGAUUCUUUUUUUCUUGUCUCGAGAGUAUAACGUAGUAAUGAGUUUGUAGAUUCUGUUUCGGGUGCUGUGAAACGGUCUCAUCACGGUUGUAUCUUGGGAUUCAAAAAUCGCAUAAAAACCAUCACAUAUUACGGGCGAUUUAUCGAUUUAAGGAAAUAUAUCAAAUCUCGACCCCGUGAAUUCGUCUAUUUUAUUACGAUUUCUUAACGUUUUUCAACCUUUUUAUUAUCGUUUAUAUGCUUUGGGUUUCGUAAUUUUCAAUUAGGAAUCUAGCGGUCCUACAAGUUUCACCAUUGACUUGAGGAAAUCCCGCUGGAACAAGCGAUGAUCAUAAGAAUGUUAUAGAAGAGAAGAGUGACUUGAAGGACAAGUUUAAUAGAAGAUGUUUAACAGAACAAGUUCAAUGUAUGAAUCUAAUGUUCUAAACACUUCACACUUAUCUUCUCAUAAUAAGAUGAGUCACCUUAAGCAAAAUAUUUGCUACUUACUCAAUUUUGAUAGAUAAUUGAGAUUAAAAAUAACACUUGCCAAUGAAAAAAAAGUUUUGGUGAGGAAAUAAUCAAAAACUUGAUGAGGAAGCUAAGUUCCUCUCCCCACCUAUAAAUAGAUGCAUUUGUUCCAUCCUAAAGCAUCACUACAAAAACUAAGAGAAACACAUGAAAAAAGGUGUAGGUAAAGGGAGAGAAGAUCUAACUCCAACUUUAAUAUCAAGAGAUCAUCUUCCAUGAUCAAAAUCUUUCAAGAAUGUUUCUGCAACAACGAAUUUAGUUGCAAAUAGAAAAUCGGAGACGAUGAUGACACAAGGAAAAGAAGGCGAGACACAGUAGACGCAAAAUGACGUGUAUAUCCAUAAUCCACGUCAAGUGAUAUGAUUGGCUCUAGUUAUUAUGAAAUGACAGUCACAUCCUUACUUGUUCUCGAGUGACACAAUUGCAAGUGUGGUAUAUAUAUGUUUAGCGAUUGUAAAUUGUUAACUUUUUUUUUUUACCUUUUUCAUUGAUCCGAGAUUUUUGGAUAGCUGAGACCUAACCAACUAAUUCUCGAGUGCCUGGCCACCAGCGCCAGUUAGACACGAUUGUAAUCCAAAAACAACAGAUUCAAA